rnacentral:lncRNA from 1 species
GGAGCAGUGGCUGCCCACGAAGCCCGCAGCCCCAGUGACAAGGACGGUGAGGCCGUUGGGGCGGCGGGGGGAGGCGGAGUGGCGGACCUGCUUCUCCCAGGCGCCGAAGGAGGAGGAGGAGAGGAAGUAGUGGGAGUGGGCGUGGAGGUGGCGGUGGGUGGAGUCGGUGGCGGAGAGGGGAGGGUAGUUGAAGGUGAAGAGGAAGACGAGGAUGAGUGCGACCAAGAGAGUGGCGCGGAAGAGGAGUUUGGAGGAGGCGUUGAGGAGCUUGGUGCUGUUGAGUCUCCGGAUGUAGCUGUUGUAUCGCUCUAGCUUUAUGCUCUUGCUAGUGUCCGGAGGGGAAGA